AUUGAACGCUGGCGGCAUGCCUUACACAUGCAAGUCGAACGGCAGCACGGGAGCAAUCCUGGUGGCGAGUGGCGAACGGGUGAGUAAAGUAUCGGAACGUGCCCAGUCGUGGGGGAUAACGUAGCGAAAGUUACGCUAAUACCGCAUACGAUCUAUGGAUGAAAGCGGGGGAUCGCAAGACCUCGCGCGAUUGGAGCGGCCGAUAUCAGAUUAGGUAGUUGGUGGGGUAAAGGCUCACCAAGCCGACGAUCUGUAGCUGGUCUGAGAGGACGACCAGCCACACUGGGACUGAGACACGGCCCAGACUCCUACGGGAUGCAGCAGUGGGGAAUUUUGGACAAUGGGCGCAAGCCUGAUCCAGCCAUGCCGCGUGCAGGAUGAAGGCCUUCGGGUUGUAAACUGCUUCUGUACGGAACGAAAAGGUUUGACUUAAUACGUUGGACUCAUGACGGUACCGUAAGAAUAAGCACCGGCUAACUACGUGCCAGCCGCCGCGGUAA
rnacentral:rRNA from 1 species